GUGGAGAUUCAACCUGAUAUGACUUAUAGUGAAGAACCGGUCAAGAUAUUAGCACGAGAAACAAAGGAACUUAGAAACAAAAAGGUAAAUCUGGUGAAAGUGCUAUGGCAAAAGCACGGGAUUGAGGAAGCAACAUGGGAACCGGAAGAGACAAUGAGGAAGCAAUACCCGAAUCUCUUUACUGAUCAAGAAGUACGAAACUCGAGGUUAGACAAAGGGAAGAAUAAAGUUGAAGACUAAGUUGGUGAAUUUGGCUAUAAUUGGUACCGAGUAUUGCAAAGCUACUUCAAGGAUCCUAAAGAAGUCGGAGAUCGUCCACACUAUCAACUACAACUGCUUUCGGUAUUUUAUAUCGAAACACGUUUGAGUUAUGGCAUGUAUAGGG